rnacentral:ncRNA from 2 species
UAUUAUAUGGUACUUUAUAAUUGUUAAUCAAUUACCGCUAAUGGGGAAGUCCGUGAGAAUCGGACACAGUCGCGCUACGGUAACGGAAGGCCUUAAUGGCAAGUCCGGAGUCCGAAUACCAUGGUAAUUGCUAAUUUUUU